AUGCUGCUUUGGAAGCUUUUUGAUGAUAAACAUGACUGGUUUAAGGAUAUUAAUGUGUUAGAUGAAGUUGUUGAGGACAUAGACAAUCCACUUUCUCUGUUGAAAGACAGAUUUGUGUUAGAACCACUUGGGAGUUGUGAACGUCAUGUUUUGCUUUGGUGGCUCUGGGUUGAAGCUUGCAUAUACAUCAAAUUUCCACCUCAGUGA